rnacentral:rRNA from 1 species
UACGUAGGGUCCGAGCGUUGUCCGGAAUUAUUGGGCGUAAAGAGCUCGUAGGCGGUUUGUCGCGUCUGCUGUGAAAUCCCGAGGCUCAACCUCGGGUCUGCAGUGGGUACGGGCAGACUGGAGUGCGGUAGGGGAGAAUGGAAUUCCUGGUGUAGCGGUGGAAUGCGCAGAUAUCAGGAGGAACACCGGUGGCGAAGGCGGUUCUCUGGGCAUGAUCUGACGCUGAGGAGCGAAAGUGUGGGGAGCGAACAGG